AUUGAACGCUGGCGGCAUGCCUUACACAUGCAAGUCGAACGGCAGCACGGGAGCAAUCCUGGUGGCGAGUGGCGAACGGGUGAGUAAAGUAUCGGAACGUGCCCAGUCGUGGGGGAUAACGCAGCGAAAGUUGUGCUAAUACCGCAUACGAUCUAUGGAUGAAAGCGGGGGAUCGCAAGACCUCGCGCGAUUGGAGCGGCCGAUAUCAGAUUAGGUAGUUGGUGGGGUAAAGGCUCACCAAGCCGACGAUCUGUAGCUGGUCUGAGAGGACGACCAGCCACACUGGAACUGCGACACGGUCCAGACUCCUACGGGAGGCAGCAGUGGGGAAUUUUGGACAAUGGGCGCAAGCCUGAUCCAGCAAUGCCGCGUGCAGGAUGAAGGCCUUCGGGUUGUAAACUGCUUUUGUACGGAACGAAAAGGCUCUGGUUAAUACCUGGGGCACAUGACGGUACCGUAAGAGUAAGCACCGGCUAACUACGUGCCAGCCGCCGCGGUAAUAC
rnacentral:rRNA from 1 species